CAGAAUCUACUUCUGAUUUAAGGACCCAAUGAUGCAAAGUAAAAUCAUCCUUACGGCUUGAUAUGGAAAAGGGCUGGCGUACCCUACAAAUUAGUAAAUUCCUUACUGAAUACACAAAUUUAUUUAUUUGAGCUCUGAUUUACUCACCAAUUUUUAGCUUUGUGACUAACUUUUGGUUUUUCCUUAAAUUUCUUUUGGUAUAUUGCUAACGGGGCAGAAUUCUCGCCUAGCAAUGAAUAAAGUUCUCGAGAAAUUCCUUCUGGCCUUCUCUCUGUUGGAGUUUUAGAUUUCUGCUUAUUUCCUAUUUCAGGAGGAGGUAAUUCAAAGACAUCCCGAAUGUCAGCACUAGUCAUUGUAUUUUGAACUGAAUUUUCUCAUCAGUGUACGAAUAAAACGCCGA